rnacentral:lncRNA from 1 species
AUGGCAUCCUGCUCUUCCUUCUAAAUGACCUGGACUAAAGCAGGCCACAGUAAACUGUUGACAACCUCAGCUAACAGACUAUUUAUUCCUGACUCCAAAGCAGAAGUCACUGCUGGUUUCUUCCAGAAAUGUGCUUUGUGGUAGGGUGACUCAGCGGGGAGAGAAGCCCUUUUGCCCUUUCUACCUACCUCCUUCCUUCUCCGGUGAGGAAGAUGAAUACAGCAGCAAGAACACAGGCCACAGUAGCCAUGGAAGCCUCAGAGGAAACAGAGAGAUAGAAGUCUGGCUCUCUGCAGGCAUUGGAAAGCUUCCCUUCCAGUCCAGGACAUCAUAGGGCCACCAUUCUAUCUCUAAAUUGUUCCCUAGAAUAUUUUAAAGGAAAUAAACAUUUUUCUGA